rnacentral:rRNA from 1 species
AUUGAACGCUGGCGGCAUGCCUUACACAUGCAAGUCGAACGGCAGCACGGGAGCAAUCCUGGUGGCGAGUGGCGAACGGGUGAGUAAUAUAUCGGAACGUGCCCAGUCGUGGGGGAUAACGCAGCGAAAGCUGUGCUAAUACCGCAUACGAUCUACGGAUGAAAGCGGGGGAUCGCAAGACCUCGCGCGAUUGGAGCGGCCGAUAUCAGAUUAGCUAGUUGGGGAGGUAAAGGCUCACCAAGGCGACGAUCUGUAGCUGGUCUGGGAGGACGACCAGCCACACUGGAACUGAGACACGGUCCAGACUCCUACGGGAGGCAGCAGUGGGGAAUUUUGGACAAUGGGCGCAAGCCUGAUCCAGCAAUGCCGCGUGCAGGAUGAAGGCCUUCGGGUUGUAAACUGCUUUUGUACGGAACGAAACGGUGAGCUCUAAUACAGUUUGCUAAUGACGGUACCGUAAGAAUAAGCACCGGCUAACUACGUGCCAGCCGCCGCUGUAACAC